rnacentral:rRNA from 1 species
AGGAAUAUUGGUCAAUGGGCGAGAGCCUGAACCAGCCAAGUAGCGUGCAGGAUGACGGCCCUAUGGGUUGUAAACUGCUUUUAUAAGGGAAUAAAGUGAGAGUCGUGACUCUUUUUGCAUGUACCUUAUGAAUAAGGACCGGCUAAUUCCGUGCCAGCAGCCGCGGUAAUACGGAAGGUCCGGGCGUUAUCCGGAUUUAUUGGGUUUAAAGGGAGCGUAGGCCGGAGAUUAAGCGUGUUGUGAAAUGUAGACGCUCAACGUCUGCACUGCAGCGCGAACUGGUUUCCUUGAGUACGCACAAAGUGGGCGGAAUUCGUGGUGUAGCGGUGAAAUGCUUAGAUAUCACGAAGAACUCCGAUUGCGAAGGCAGCUCACUGGAGCGCAACUGACGCUGAAGCUCGAAAGUGCGGGUAUCGAACAGGAUUAGAUACCCUGGUAGUCCGCACGGUAAACGAUGGAUGCCCGCUGUUGGUCUGAAUAGGUCAGCGGCCAAGCGAAAGCAUUAAGCAUCCCACCUGGGGAGUACGCCGGCAACGGUGAAACUCAAAGGAAUUGACGGGGGCCCGCACAAGCGGAGGAACAUGUGGUUUAAUUCGAUGAUACGCGAGGAACCUUACCCGGGCUUGAAUUGCAGAGGAAGGAUUUGGAGACAAUGACGCCCUUCGGGGCCUCUGUGAAGGUGCUGCAUGGUUGUCGUCAGCUCGUGCCGUGAGGUGUCGGCUUAAGUGCCAUAACGAGCGCAACCCCUCUCCUUAGUUGCCAUCAGGUCAUGCUGGGCACUCUGGGGACACUGCCACCGUAAGGUGUGAGGAAGGUGGGGAUGACGUCAAAUCAGCACGGCCCUUACGUCCGGGGCUACACACGUGUUACAAUGGGGGGUACAGAGGGCCGCUACCACGCGAGUGGAUGCCAAUCCCAAAAACCUCUCUCAGUUCGGACUGGAGUUUGCAACCCGACUCCACGAAGCUGGAUUCGCUAGUAAUCGCGCAUCAGCCACGGCGCGGUGAAUACGUUCCCG